GUGGACUACUGGGGUUUCUAAUCCUGUUUGCUCCCCACGCUUUCGCACCUCAGCGUCAACAAUCGUCCAGUAAGUCGCCUUCGCCACUGGUGUUCUUCCGAAUAUCUACGAAUUUCACCUCUACACUCGGAAUUCCACUUACCUCUCCGAUGUUCAAGCGAUGCAGUCUUAAAGGCAAUUCCAGGGUUGAGCCCUGGGCUUUCACCUCUAACUUACAAAGCCGCCUACGUGCGCUUUACGCCCAGUAAUUCCGAACAACGCUAGCCCCCUCCGUAUUACCGCGGCGGCUGGCAC
rnacentral:misc_RNA from 1 species